UGUCAUGAUUUUCUCUUAACUCCACAGGAGGCUCUACCAGUGACACUCAUCUCCUGGUGUAUGGCCUGAGUGCAGCAUUGGCAGCUUCCAUCAUCCUGCUGCUCAUCUUGGCUUUCUUCACAUACAAAGUGAAUGAAAAGUCAUGUUCUGUCUGCAAAGGAGCUGUUUCUCAUCCGGCAGGUCCUGCAGCUUCUGAGGGCUCGAGCCAAGAUGAGAAUGUUCUGCACUAUGCUGCUCUGAGCCUGAAAAGAAGCAGUGAUCGACAUCGCCAAGGGCAGAGUGUGGAGACGGACUGUGUUUACUCCAGGGUUAAGAGCAGAAAGGAGUAAAGAAGGC